GAUGAACGCUGGCGGCGUGCUUAACACAUGCAAGUCGAACGAGAAGUGAAGACGGAAACCUUCGGGCGGAAGGCUUUAUUUCGAGUGGCGGACGGGUGAGUAACGCGUGGGUAACCUGCCUCAUACAGGGGGAUAACAGUUGGAAACGACUGUUAAUACCGCAUAAGACCACAGCACCGCAUGGUGCGGGGGUAAAAACUCCGAUGGUAUGAGAUGGACCCGCGUUCGAUUAGCCAGUUGGCGGGGUAACGGCACACCAAAGCGACGAUCGAUAGCCGAUCUGAGAGGAUGACCGGCCACAUUGGGACUGAGACACGGCCCAAACUCCUACGGGAGGCAGCAGUGGGGAAUAUUGCACAAUGGGGGAAACCCUGAUGCAGCGACGCCGCGUGAGUGAAGAAGUAUUUCGGUAUGUAAAGCUCUAUCAGCAGGGAAGAAAAUGACGGUACCUGAGUAAGAAGCCCCGGCUAACUACGUG
rnacentral:rRNA from 1 species